GGGGUUGUGGCUCAGUGGUACAGCACUUGCCUAACAUGUUUGAGGCACUGAGUUCAAUUCUCAGCACCA
rnacentral:tRNA from 1 species